rnacentral:lncRNA from 10 species
AAUUUGGGAACGAGAUGCCCGGGGAUGCAACCAGCCCCGCGCUCGGAGGCGGCGGUCGGAGUUCCGUGCGCAGAGGGCACACAAAAGCCUCGAGGAUCAUUGCCUCGACCCCAUCCCCCACCGCGCGGCGACGCCCCCUACGGGCUGGGACACCUCCACUCUCGGACUGCUGCCGGGUUUCCCUCCGGCUGCGACCCUGGAGGAUUUGAUGGAAAUGCUACAAGAGAAGCAGGCUCUCCCCUUCUGAAAUGAUGAGUGAUAAUGACCAUACAGGUCAACUUUUCCACCACUUGGAGGGAGCCUGUCAAAGAACAAAGGCAACAGAGAAGAGAGCAGAGCUGAGGUUGGGUGAGAGGGAGAAAUUCCUGAGUGCUUGAAUCCCACAUGCCGGAAGCCGCACCACACUUGGACUUCUCAAUACAGGAGCCACUGAGAAACCAAGUCAUGCUGAAGACCUGGAAAUCCCAGCAGGCUGCAAACCAGCUGCAACUACAAUGGGUCAGCCCUUUUGAGAUGCUGCUGACUACCCACUUAUCUGCCAAGUUAGCCAGUGUUAAGCCAUGGAUUCACCACGCUCAGAUAAAACCUGCCCCUCUGGGAUCCCUCCAGAAAAAAACAGGCAUGCUGUUGUGAACCCUAAGAUGGCCUUAAGUUAAUAUUCAAUGCCCAGCCAAAGACCCUAAAUAAGAAGUCAUAAAGGAAACAUGUGCUUUUCAGGUACCAAUCACCCUCCAGAUCUAAGAAUGGCUUCAGGCUGGGGCUGCAGUCACCUCUUUGCCCAGCUUCUCCCCUGCCCUAUUCUGCUUCACUUGCAUCCUUAAAGGUUCCACCCAAGAGCUCUUCUACAAGAAAGCACCUAUAAAGCCAGACACAUUGGCUUAUGCCUAUAAUCCUAGCACUUUGGGAGGCCAAGGUAGGAGGAUGGCUUGAGGCCAGGAGUUCAAGACCAGCCUGGGCAACUUAGUGAGGCCCCGUCUCUAUAAAAAAUAAAAAAAUUAACCAGGUGUGGUGGUGCACGUCUCUAGUCUCAGCUACUCAGGAGGCUGUGGCAGGAAGAUGGCUUGAGCCCAGGAGGUUGAGGCUGCAGUGAACUAAGAUCAUGCCACUGCACCCAUCUUGGGCAACAGAAUGAGAUCCUGUCUCUAAAAAAAUAAAAACAAUUUACAACAGUAAGCACCUGUACACAAGCCCCAUCUCCAGUCCUGUUUCUAGGGCUUCCAAUUUAACACACCUAGAGGCUGGGCAUAGUAGCUCAUGCCUGUAAUCCCAAUACUUUGGGAGGCUGAGGCAAGUGAAGCACUUGAGGUCAGGAGUUCGAGACCAGCCUGGCCAACAUGGCAAAACCCCAUCUCUACUAAAAAUGCAAACAUUAGCUGGGCAUGGUGGCACAUGCCUGUAAUCCCAGCUACUCGGGAGGCUGAGACAGGAGAAUCACUUGAACCCAGGAGGUGGAGGUUACAGUGAGCCAAGAUCACACCACUGUACCACAGCCUGAGCAACGAAAGAAGACUCUGUCUAAAAAAAGUAAAAAAUAAAAUAAAACACACCUGGAGCUUUCUACAUCCCGUCUGCAGGUUAGCUGGGGCAGCUGAUUGGGAUCAAGUCUACCCCAUAUUUCUGUCAUUUGCUUGAGCCAACAGCUUACCCAGGACAGUUCUCAUGGUAAAGGACAGAGCCUGAGAAGCAAAGCCAAACCUCAUGAGCACAUUUAAAGCCUCUGAUCAUGCCCACUAACAUUCCAUUGGCCAAAGCAAGCCUCACGAUCCAGCCCGACAUGAGGAAGUGGGGAAACAGACUCUAAUCUCUCCAGUAGGAGGCAUUGUAGAGCAACAUAGCAAAGAAAGGAUACAUUCCAAGGAGGAAGAAAAGAAUUGGGAUAAUCCAGUCCUAUCACAGACAACCUUCAUUUUUAAUGUUACUUUCUUUUUCAUGGAAAAUAACUACAUUAAAAGGUCAUGGCCGGGCGCGGUGGCUCAUGCCUGUAAUCCUAGAACUUUGGGAGGCCGAGGCAGGUGGAUCACCUGAGGUCAGGAGUUCGAGACCAGCCUGGCCAACGGGGUUUAGUGAAAUCUCAUCUCCACUAAAAAUAAUAAUAAUAAUAAUAAUAGCUGGGCAUCAUGGUGGGUGCCUGUAAUCCCAGCUACCCAGGGGACUGAAGCAGGAGAAUCACUUGAACCCGGGAGGCAGAGGUUGCAGUGAGCUGAGAUCAUGCCACUGCACUCCAGCUUGGGCAACAGAGUGAGAUUCCAUCUUAAAAUAAAAUUAAAUUAAAUUAAAAAGUCAUUUCAAGGAUUUCUGGAAAAAAUUGUAAAGCCAUUUCCAGAAAAUUACCAGAAUUGGUAAAAUUUUGUCCCAUUCCUUACCUGCUGGGCUGGCAUCGUGGGUGUGACUUGUGCAGGAGCACAGGACUCCACACUCAGAAGAGCUGCAUGCUUGGCUGAAUACUCUGCUAAUGCUGUCUCACAGUUAUUAAUUUUUGAACAAGAAGCUCUGCAUUUUUAUUCUGCACUGGCCCCAACAAAUUAUGCAGCCAGUGCUGCCUACACAUGCUAUAUUUAGGAUCCCAGAUGGUGAGAAUUAAUGCUCAGACUGGUGACCCUGAAUCUGUAGGUUUCUGAGUGAUCCAGGAUUCAAUUAUAAUUAUCAUUUUUUUCAUUCAUUCAACAUGUUUAUUGAGUGCUGUUCUAGGUAUCGGGGAUAAAACAUUGAAUCAACCAGCCCUGUCUUCACAGAAUUUACAUCGUGCCACACUUCCUGUGUCUGCCCAACCAACAAAUGACAUUCAUGUAUCAGCUAUUAAUAGGACAUCAGCUACAGACACACAUACCAGCGUGUGUCACAAAUAGUCUAUGUCGGGGAUCACAUGCAAAUCCCAGCAGCCAACAGGAACUCCAGGCAUCCCAAUCUCUUUCUCUCAAGAAAGCAAAUCAGAAUGCAACCUCUAAAGUGGCAAAAAGAUGCAUUUAAGAAAGGUUUUCAACCGUGAAGACUGAAAUCAAAGAGCAAACUGAGUCUCUGGUUAACAUUUCUCAGGGCCUCUGCAAAUACUGUGAGAAAUGCCACUUUGUGACAGCUUCAGCCAAGCACCAGGCUCAUCCUUCAAGAGAUCCACUUAACACUGUGUUGCUCAGAGGAGUGGAAAGAUGUCAAAUUGCUCAUCUGCUUGAAAAACCCAAAUAGGUGGAUUUCAUACAGCAGGGAUCCUGCCCUGGGAAGGCAACAGUCCUUUUUCUCAUUUGAUUGCUUUAUAGAAAUCUGUGCCCUUACCCCCCUUAGCCCCAACUCAAACCAGAUUCUUUGCUUCCAGCAAGCCCAGCUGAAGUAAACAUGUUAACAACACACAUUUGCCUCCCUGAGACAGAUAAUAUCAUAGUUCAGCUCCAUAAAAGCCUGUUGCUGUAGGCUUCUAAGGCCCUAGUUCUCAAACUUAGCCUGCAUCCAAAUCACCUGGAGUGCUUGUUAAAAUGCAGAUCACAGGACCCUACCUUGGAGUUUCUAACUCAGUAGGUCUUGGGUGGGUCCCGAAAAUUUGCUUUUCUAGUAAAUCCCAGGUGGUGGCUCCUGAUGGUCUUUGAGAACUACUGCUCUAGGGCAUUGCCUUGGAUCCUGAAGGGCUGCAUGAGCAAUUCUGUCCUCAAUGCAGAGAAUGUCCCCAAACAAACCUUAAUUCUCUUUGGCUUCUGACCACCCUAUCUCAUUUUCCUCAAUUCUCAUUCAUUCCUCAACUCCCUUUAGCUGGCCUCCUGCCCUGCACUCUAUUGAAAAUGCUCUCAGUGAAGUUGAAGGUGACAAAUUUGCUGCCAAAUUUAAUGGGCAGGGGACAUCAUCAUUUGGGUAUCUGAUAUGAUUUGGGUCUGUGUCCCUGUCCAAAUCUCAUAUCGAAUUCUAAUACUCAACAUUGGAAGGGGGGCCUGAUGGGAGGUGAUUGAAUCAUGAGGGCAGAUUUCCCCCUUGCUGUUCCCAUGAGUAAGUUCUCACAAGGUCUGGUUGUUUAUAAAAGUGUGUAGCAGUCGGGCGCAGUGACUCAUGCCUGUAAUGCCAGCAUUUUGGGAGGCCGAGGCAGGUGGAUCACCUGAGGUCAGGAGUUCGAGACCAGCCAGGCCAACAUGGUGAAACGCCGUCUCUACUAAAAAUACAAAAAUUAGCUGGGUGUGUGCCUGUAUUCCCAGCUACUUGGGAAGCUGAAGCAGGAGAAUUGCUUGAACCAGGGUGUCGGAGCUUGCAGUGAGCCGAGAUCGCGCCACUGCACUCCAGCCUGGCGAUAGACUGAGACUCUGUCUCAAAAAAACAAACAAACAAACAAACAAAAACAAAAAAAAAGUGUGUAGCACCUCCCCUUUCUCUAUCUCCUCCUCCUUCUCUGGCCAUGAAAGACAUGCCUGCUUCUCCUUCACCUUCCACCAUGAUUGUAAGCUUCCUGAGGCCUCCCCAGCCAUGCUUCCUGUACAUCCUGGGGACCAUGAGUCAAUUAAACCUCUUUUUCUUUAUAAAGUACCCAGUCUCGGCUGGGUGCGGUGGCUCAUGCCUGUCAUCUCAGCACUUUGGGAGGCCGAGGUGGGUGGAUCACCUGAGGUCAGGAGUUCAAGACCAGCCUGGUCAACAUGGUGAGACCCUGUCUCUACUAAAAAUACAAAAAUUAGCUGGGCAUGGUGGCGCACGCCUGUAGUCCCAGCUGCUCUGGAGGCUGAGACACAAGAAUUGCUUGAACCCGAGUGGUGGAGGCUGCAGUGAGCCAAGAUUGUGCCACUGCACUCCAGCCUCAGUGAUAGAGUGAGACUCUGUCUCUAAAUAAAUAAAUAACCCAGUCUCAGGUUGUUCUUUAUGGCAGUGCGAGAACAGACUAAUACAGUAUCUCACCAGCCAGUUUAGCCACCAGUCUACAUUGAACUCACUGUUUUCUCAAGCACUCUUCAUCAUGUUUUUGGGCCUGACAAGCUUCAUGUGUUCCCAGCAGUAUUUCUGUUAUUUGCAGCAACUGCCACUCCCUACUAAGUGUAGUUCAGAUGGGAUUUUCAAUCAUAGCACCCUAUGGCACUGGCCACAGGGAUGGGCCUGUAUCCCAGUACUGAUCAUCUACUCCCCUAUCUCUUGGGUCACCAUGAUUGGCCCAGUGGCAAUCAAUGACACACACCAAACCAGUCAGAGCCCUUCUCUAAAAUUUUAUACGGAUUUCAUUACAUCUAAGACUCCAUUACAGUAAGAAACACUGUUAUUUUAUCCAUCACUAAGAAAUAAUACUGCCAAUUGGAACAACAAAAAAGGAAGAUGACAUCUAUUAAAAGACGCUUCCGAUUUCAGAAAGGUUAAAAUUGGGUGGGGCUAAACCUUGCACAGUGAAAUUCAAACUAAGAUGCUGGGAGAAAAAAGCUCUCUCUCUGGAGUCCCUGAGCUAGGAAGACGUAAAUGUCAAGUUGCAACAAUACCACCUUCUCUCCAUUGCCUGGAGGAAGCAAGUCUGCAAUAGGAAAGAAUGAGGCCAACACACCAAGAGAAGUGAAAAUUUUAAAAAGAGAGAAAUGAAGCGGGUAGAGUAGCUCUGUUUCUUCACAUCAGUCCUAUAUCCUUAAAUUAUUUGAAUUCAGUUUCUGUCACUUGCAAUCAUGGAAGUCCUGAUAAAUAUAAUCCCUUUCCCCAUAAGCAUCCCCAAUAUUCCCCAAAGUAAAUGACUCAUUACCCAUCAAAUUAUCCAAAUCAUACUUAACUCCUUCCUCCUCCUCAACCCUUCUACACUGAACUAAUGAGGAAAUGUGUUUUCUUCAACUUCCUAAAUAUCUAAUCCUUCCAUUUCUCUCUAUCUGCACUCAAUCUCUCACCCCAUCCACCAUCCCCCUUUGCAGACCCCUGGGACGGCCUCCUAACUGAGUCUCCUGGUUCUAGUCUUCUCCUAUCUAACUCUGGGUCCACGCUGCAGUCAGAGUGAUCUUUCCAAUAAGAACAUCCCUGCCCAAAACACUUUGGGGUCUUCUCAUUGUCCUUUCACAGUAUGGCCCAGCCUAUCUCCCCAGCUUUCUCCAGUUUUUCGAAUAUUUUUCUGCUUUAGACUUUUUUUUUUUGAGACUGGGUCUCACUCUGUCACCCAGGAUGGAGUGCAGUGGUGCAAUCACAGCUCAGUGCACUCCCCACCUCCCGGUCUUAAACAAUCCUCCCACUUCAGCCUCCUGAGUGGCUGGAACAACAGGUGCGCCACCACACCCAGCUACUUUUUUUUAUUUUUCCUAGAGACAGGUUUCACCAUGUUGCUCAGGCUUUCUUUAGACUUUUACUUUUCCCUGACUGGAACGUUCCUCCUCGUUCACCUGUGAUUUAUUCAUUUUUGAUCCCAGCUUAAACAUCACAUCAUCUAAGCCCAGGUGGACUCCUCUAGUUUCACUGACCUCUUUCACAGUUUCUAUGGCAUCUUCCUCAUUAUACUUUCAAAAAUCAGCUGUUUACUGUAGCUUUUUAUAUUUGAAGACAUAAUAAACUCUUGUUUACACCCAAAUCUUUAGAAUAAUAAACCAUAUCAGUGAGAUGUUAGUAAGAGACAAAUAGUCCUUCUCUGGGGGUACUUGGUGGGCUAACUAUCUGGACUAAAAUGGUAACUAUCUCCAGACUCACAGCCAGUCCCAGAGGAUGUGCCUCUGCCUUGUGGAAGAUGUGGCAGAGAGUGGGUUCUUAGUAACUGCACUAGUUCCCAAGGGCUGCUAUAACAAAGUACCACAGAUUGAGUGGCUUCAACAACAGAAAAAUACUUUGUCAUAGUCCCGGAGGCUAGAAGUCUGAGAUCGAGUUGUUGGCAGCAUUGAUUUCUUCUGAGUUCUCUCUCCUUGGUUUGCAGAUGGCUGCCUUCUCCCGUGUCCUCAUCUCCCCUUCUUAUAAGGACACCAGUCAUGUUGCAUCAGGGCCCACCCCAAUGACCUCAUUUAACCUUAAUACCAAUUUAAAGACCCUGAUAUGGCUCAGCUGUGUCCCCACCCAAAUCUCAUCUUGAAUUGUAGCUCCCAUAAUUCCCACCUGUUGUGAGACAGGCCCCAUGGGAGAUACUUGAAUCAUGGGGGGAGUUUCCCCCAUACUGUUCUCAUGGUAUUGAAUAAGUCUCACGAGAUCUGGUGGUUUUAUAAGGGGGAACCCCUUUCACUUGGUUCUGAUUCUGUCUUGUCUGCUGUGAUGUAAGAUGUGCCUUUCGCCUUCCUCCGUGAUUGUGAGGCCUUCCCCAGCCAUGUGGAACUGUGAGUCCAUUAAACCUCUUUUUCUUUAUA